rnacentral:rRNA from 1 species
UACGUAGGGGGCAAGCGUUGUCCGGAAUUAUUGGGCGUAAAGAGCGCGUAGGCGGUCCGAUAAGUCGACUGUGAAAGUCUAGGGCUCAACCCUGGAAAGCCGGUCGAUACUGUCGGACUAGAGUCCGGAAGAGGCAAGUGGAAUUCCCGGUGUAGCGGUGAAAUGCGCAGAUAUCAGGAGGAACACCAAUGGCGAAGGCAGCUCGCUGGGACGGUACUGACGCUGAGACGCGAAAGCGUGGGGAGCGAACAGG